GAGUUUGAUCGUGGCUCAGAUUGAACGCUGGCGGCAUGCUUUACACAUGCAAGUCGAACGGCAGCACGGGAGCUUGCUCCUGGUGGCGAGUGGCGAACGGGUGAGUAAUGCAUCGGAACGUAUCCUGGAGUGGGGGAUAACGUAGCGAAAGUUACGCUAAUACCGCCAUAUUCUGUGAGCAGGAAAGCGGGGGAUCUUCGGGCCUCGCGCUCUUGGAGCGGCCGAGUGUCCGGAUUAAGCUAGUUAGGUGAGGUAAAGGCUCACCAAGGCGACGAUCCGUAGCAGGUCUGAGAGGAUGAUCUGCCACACUGGAACUGAGACACGGUCC
rnacentral:rRNA from 1 species